GACAGAGGAGGCAAGCGUUGUUCGGAAUCACUGGGCUUAAAGGGCGCGUAGGCGGCUCGGAAAGUGUUCUGUGAAAUCCCCCGGCUCAACCGGGGAACGGCAGGGCAAACUCCCGAGCUUGAGGUCGGUAGAGGUGCCUGGAACUCUAGGUGGAGCGGUGAAAUGCGUAGAUAUCUAGAGGAACGCCAGAGGCGAAAGCGGGGCACUGGGCCGAUUCUGACGCUGAGGCGCGAAAGCGUGGGGAGCAAACAGG
rnacentral:rRNA from 1 species